rnacentral:rRNA from 1 species
CUAAGGCUCCAGAGGAAGCCACGGCUAACUCUGUGCCAGCAGCCGCGGUAAUACAGAGGCGGCAAGCGUUGUUCGGAAUUAUUGGGCGUAAAGAGCACGUAGGCGGCCUUGCAAGUCAGUUGCGAAAGCCUUCCGCUUAACGGAAGAAUGCCAGCUGAUACUACAGGGCUUGAGUACGGGAGGGGAGAGUGGAACUUCUGGUGGAGCGGUGAAAUGCGUAGAUAUCAGAAGGAACGCCGGCGGCGAAAGCGACUCUCUGGCCCGAAACUGACGCUGAGUGUGCGAAAGCUAGGGGAGCAAACGGGAUUAGAUACCCCGGUAGUCCUAGCCGUAAA